AUAUUGGUCAAUGGACGCAAGUCUGAACCAGCCAUGCCGCGUGCAGGAAGACGGCUCUAUGAGUUGUAAACUGCUUUUGUACUAGGGUAAACUCAGAUACGUGUAUCUGACUGAAAGUAUAGUACGAAUAAGGCUCGGCUAACUCCGUGCCAGCAGCCGCGGUAAUACGGAGGAUUCAAGCGUUAUCCGGAUUUAUUGGGUUUAAAGGGGGCGUAGGCGGUUUGAUAAGUUAGAGGUGAAAUACCGGUGCUUAACACCGGAACUGCCUCUAAUACUGUUGAGCUAGAGAGUAGUUGCGGUAGGCGGAAUGUAUGGUGUAGCAGUGAAAUGCUUAGAGAUCAUACAGAACACCGAUUGCGAAGGCAGCUUACCAAACUAUAUCUGACGUUGAGGCACGAAAGCGUGGGGAGCAAACAGG
rnacentral:rRNA from 1 species